rnacentral:rRNA from 1 species
CCUACGGGCGGCAGCAGUAGGGAAUUUUCCACAAUGGGCGAAAGCCUGAUGGAGCAACGCAGCGUGGGUGAAGAAGGUCUUCGGAUCGUAAAACCCUGUUGUUAGAGAAGAAAGUGCGUGAGAGUAACUGUUCACGUUUCGACGGUAUCGAACCAGAAAGCCACGGCUAACUACGUGCCAGCAGCCGCGGUAAUACGUAGGUGGCAAGCGUUAUCCGGAUUUAUUGGGCGUAAAGGGAACGCAGGCGGUCUUUUAAGUCUGAUGUGAAAGCCUUCGGCUUAACCGGAGUAGUGCAUUGGAAACUGGGAGACGUGAGUGCAGAAGAGGAGAGUGGAACUCCAUGUGUAGCGGUGAAAUGCGUAGAUAUAUGGAAGAACACCAGUGGCGAAGGCGGCUCUCUGGUCUGUAACUGACGCUGAGGUUCGAAAGCGUGGGUAGCAAACAGGAUUAGAUACCCUGGUAGUC